rnacentral:rRNA from 1 species
CUUGGUCAUUUAGAGGAAGUAAAAGUCGUAACAAGGUUUCCGUAGGUGAACCUGCGGAAGGAUCAUUAUUGAUUUUUAAAGAUGUGCUGGCACUCCUUCACCGGUUUGCAUGUGCACUCUGCAAAAUCUCCUUCUCUUACCCCACUGUGCACACCCAAGUAGACAAACAGAGUUACAGAGCAAUCUGUGUAAUUCCUGAUUUGCCUAUGUUUUUAUCAAACACCAAUAACAAUAUCAGAAUGAUCUAUAUAGUAAGCUUUUAACAAGCUGAAAUUUAAUACAACUUUCAACAAUGGAUCUCUUGGUUCUCGCAUCGAUGAAGGACGCAGCGAAUUGCGAUAUGUAAUGUGAAUUGCAGAAUUCAGUGAAUCAUCGAAUCUUUGAACGCACCUUGCACCCUCUGGCAUUCCGGAGGGUAUGCCUGUUUGAGUGUCAUUAAUCUCUCAACGCAAGAAACUUUGUCUUCUUGUGCUUGGAUAUUGAAGGUUUUGCUGGCGCAAACAACUGUCAGCUCCUUUUAAAUGUAUUAGCAGAGCAGUAUGGGACUGGCCUCAGUUUGAUAAGAAACUUUAUCUAUGCUGUCGCUGGGUUUUCCUCUUUGUGCUCAGCUUCAAAUUGUCUUCGGACUGUCUCUUGAGGCAACAAAAUCUCUAUUGAUCGACCUCAAAUCAGGUAGGACUACCCGCUGAACUUAAGCAUAUCAAUAAGCGGAGGA